rnacentral:rRNA from 1 species
AACGUAGGUUCCGAGCGUUAUCCGGAUUUACUGGGCGUAAAGCGCGUUCAGGCGGUUUGGCAAGUCGGGCAUGAAAUCUCUCGGCUCAACCGGGAGAGGUUGUCCGAUACUUCCAGACUUGAGGGCAGUAGAGGGUGGUGGAAUUCCGGGUGUAGUGGUGAAAUGCGCAGAUAUCGGGAGGAACACCGGUGGCGAAGGCGGUUCUCUGGGCCUUACCUGACGCUGAGGAGCGAAAGCGUGGGGAGCGAACAGG